rnacentral:rRNA from 1 species
UACGUAGGGUGCGAGCGUUGUCCGGAAUUACUGGGCGUAAAGAGCUCGUAGGUGGUUUGUCGCGUUGUCCGUGAAAACUCACAGCUCAACUGUGGGCGUGCGGGCGAUACGGGCAGACUGGAGUACUGCAGGGGAGACUGGAAUUCCUGGUGUAGCGGUGAAAUGCGCAGAUAUCAGGAGGAACACCGAUGGCGAAGGCAGGUCUCUGGGCAGUAACUGACGCUGAGGAGCGAAAGCAUGGGGAGCGAACAGG